rnacentral:rRNA from 1 species
ACGGCGAGUGAAGAGGGAUCAGCCCAAAUUUGUAAUCUGGCUCUUUCAGGGUCUGAGUUGUAAUUUUGAGAACUGUUUUCUGCUCUGGACCAUGUACAAGUCUGUUGAAAUGCAGCAUCAUUGAGGGUGAGAAUCCUGUUUAUGAUAUGGACUACCAGGGCUUUAUGAUACAGUCUCUAAGAGUCGAGUUGUUUGGGAAUGCAGCUCAAAGUGGGUGGUAAAUUCCAUCUAAGGCUAAAUAUUGGUGAGAGACCGAUAGCAAACAAGUACCGUGAGGGAAAGAUGAAAAGAACUUUGGAAAGAGAGUUAACAGUACGUGAAAUUGUUAAAAGGGAAACAGUUGAAGUUAGACUUGUUGUUGUUGGUUCAGCUCUUUAAGGGUGUUUUCUGAUAAUUAACAAACCAACAUCAAUCUUUGGGUGUUGGAUAAGGGUCAUUGAAAUGUAGCAGUUUUGGCUGUGUUAUAGUCUUUGACUUGGAUACAAUGCUUGGGAUUGAGGAUUGCAGUAAGC